GAACGAGAUGGGACGUAGUAACUCCACCUUACGUCUGAUUACUUCUUCAGAAAAAGGAGGCUCCUCAUGGUCAAAAACAACAGCAGCUGUUGCGUUUACAUCUGUUAUUCUCCUGGUGAUCAUCAUCCUCGCUGCCUUCCUCUUGAUCAG